CUAUUAUGUACCAAUUAUUAGCAGUAAUUUGAUUUUUAUUUCAUCAUUAAUGCAGGAUGAUUAUAUUUUUAAUUUUCGUAAAGACUACUAUAUAAUUUAUUUUAAAAAUAAAUUAGUUGCAUGUGGUUUUAUGAUUGACAGUCUCUAUCACUUACGUAUAGAUGUAUCUAUGAACAUAUUUGUGCAAGUAGUGAGUGGCAUA
rnacentral:lncRNA from 1 species